AUAAAAUAACCUAGACAUUUGUGAUAACAGGCCAAUUAUUGCAGAAUACUGUUCUCUGGUGUCUAUUUAUCAUGUACACAAAACCCAAGAAAAAUCAAGAGUGGGGAAAUAUGUUUUUGGGGGUGUCCAAAAAAGGUCCCAAAGCUUUGUUUUCAGCAAACUACACAAAAACAGUUGUAAGAAGAUAGCACCGUUGCUAUGUAAACAAACAGCUGUCAACUGCCAAGCUCCUGUCAAAGUGGACCAAAUCUGGAUAUGUUUCGAUCUCCAACAUGACGUGUCAUUUGUCACAAUGGUUCAGGAGAAGUGAAACUAAGAGGCAAGGGUUUGAACACUCUACUCAAAGUAUUAACUCUUUGUAAUGAUUCUUUACAAUCAACUCUUUAAUAAAAAAAUAACUUUUG